AAAAUAAUCCUACCCUUUGUGAAUUUUGUUUGUUUGAAUAAUUUUUUUUUUUAAAAAAUUAUUGGAGUCUUUCCCUUUAGAGUUUGCUUUUGAGUUUGUAAAAGAAUUCGAAAACAUCUAAAGGGGAUGGUCUAUAAUUUUUUUUGAAAAAAGACAUUUUUUAAAAUUAAACUUUUUGUAUUCAUUUGUCUAAAAAUUAUUUUUAUAAUAUAAAAACAACUUUUGACAAUGGAUCUCUUGGUUCUCGCAACGAUGAAGAACGCAGCAAAAUGCGAUAAGUAGUGUGAAUUGCAGAAUACGUGAAUCAUCGAAUCUUUGAACGCAUAUUGCACUUUUUUAGUUUACUAAAAAAGUAUGUCUGUUUGAGUAUCAGUAAAAUAUUCUCAUAAAAAUCAUUGUGUAUUUUUAUGGUUAUGAGUGUUUUACAACGAUACAAGUUGUUUCACUUUAAAUUUUUUUUUAAUAUUGAAAUUUUUCUAAUUUUAAUAAUUAAAAUUGGAUAAAAUUUUCCCGUCAAAAGGAAUAACCUAAACAAUUUUAAAUGAUUAAUUUUAGCAAAAUUUUCGAAAAAAAGGAAAAUUUUUAUUAAAAUAACUUGAUCUCAAAUCAGAUAAGAGUACCCGCUGAACUUAAGCAUAUCAAUAAGCGGAGGAAAAGAAACUAACAAGGAUUCCCUUAGUAACGGCGAGUGAAGCGGGAAGAGCUCAAAUUUGAAAUCUUCAAGGUUUUACCUUGACGAAUUGUAGUUUAAAGAAGUGUUUUCUGCUGAAGUUUUGGUAAAAGUUCUUUGGAAUAGGACAUCAUAGAGGGUGAGAAUCCCGUAUUUGACCAUUAUUUUCAGCUUUGUGAUACACUUUCGAAGAGUCGGAUUGUUUGGGAAUGCAGUCCAAAAUGGGUGGUAAAUUCAUCUAAAGCUAAAUAUUGGCGAGAGACCGAUAGCGAACAAGUACCGUGAGGGAAAGAUGAAAAGAACUUUGAAAAGAGAGUUAAACAGUACGUGAAAUUGUCAAAAGGGAAGCGUUUGACACUAGUGUUGUUUUCUCGAAAUCAAUUAAAAAUGGCUCGAUUUUGUAUUGCUGAGACCUUAAAAGCUCACUGUACAUUUUUCGUGUCUUUUUUAAUGCACUUUUCGUUUAACAAGUCAACAUCAGUUCCUUUUGUUGUAAAAGGGUCAUUGGAAGGUGGCUUUCUUUUCGGAGAAAGUGUUUAUAGCCUUUGGCCUCUGCAAUCGAAGAGACUGAGGUCUGCAGCGUAGACUCUUCGGGGUUAGAUACAUUUGUGCUAAGUUAUAGCUUUUUAUAGACAACUUGUUGACUAUAAUUAGUCUUGUAGCUUACUCGCUUAUGCUAUUU
rnacentral:misc_RNA from 1 species